AUGCUGACUCUGGGCACGGCCUGGCGUAGCGGCCUCUCUGACUCGGGGUCCACGGGAGUGAGGCUCGUCUGGGAGUGGGCAGAUCCAUCAGCAGCAUUUGACCUGAGGAUGAGAAGAACAACGCUCAUGUUGCCUUUAGUGUCGCUUGUUAGACAUCCUGGGUGCUGCAGCCAGACUAUGCAAGUCAGUCUUGAAUCAGUCUGGAUUAAAUUAGGCUGAGCUGUAUUAGUGGAACGACUUGAGGUUUAAUGAAGAGAUGCCGCCAGUUUGAGUCUGACUUCUUCUGGAUGUCGUCCAGCCAGGCUAAGUCGUGCUGUGAGAACAUCAGAUCCAGCAGCUUCCGUACAACCAUCAGUCCCAGAAUCUGUG